rnacentral:rRNA from 1 species
UACAGGGGGUGCAAACGUUGCUCGGAAUCAUUGGGCGUAAAGCGCACGUAGGCGGUUCGUUAUGUCGGAUGUGAAAGCCCUUGGCUUAACCGAGGAAGUGCAUCCGAAACUGGCGAGCUAGAGUACGAAAGAGGAUCGCGGAAUUCCCGGUGUAGAGGUGAAAUUCGUAGAUAUUAGGAAGAACACCAGUGGCGAAGGCGGCUCACUGGUCCGGUACUGACGCUGAGGUGCGAAAGCGUGGGGAGCAAACAGG